AGAUUUUCAUUAUUUCCCCUAUUUCUUUUACAUUACUCUGCCGGUAGAGCCUGACAAAGAACUUUUGUCUCGAAGUGUGUGUUUUACAGAGGGAGGCUAGAGGACAACACAUGUGGUCUUCACGGGUCAUAGGUCGAACGGCCUAGAAGUGGCUCGGAUCGGCACCAUCAAAGGCUAUGGGCCGGCCACACUCUCCCUCCUGGUCCCCUUGCUGCGUUGGAAGGCUGAAUUUUGGGGGAAGGACACCCUCUUCCCCCUUUCUCUCUCACAUGCACACACCCCUCUCCGGUGGGUCCUUCCGCCUCUUUUUCCCGACGAGGCCGUGGCCAGCCGCAUCCUCGCACGGGCACAGCCCCCGGCCCCACCGCAGCCUGCCCCCCACUGCAGCACCCAUGGCUGCCGGGGAGGGGGCAUGCAGGAAGGGGGCGCGGAGCCUCCCCGGGGGGCGGUGACACCU